rnacentral:rRNA from 1 species
UACGGGGGGGGCAAGCGUUGUUCGGAAUUACUGGGCGUAAAGGGCUCGUAGGCGGCCAACUAAGUCCGACGUGAAAUCCCCAGGCUUAACUUGGGAACUGCGUCGGAUACUGGAUGGCUUGAAUUCGGGAGAGGGAUGCAGAAUUCCAGGUGUAGCGGUGAAAUGCGUAGAUAUCUGGAGGAAUACCGGUGGCGAAGGCGGCAUCCUGGACCGACAUUGACGCUGAGUGAGCGAAAGCUAGGGGAGCAAACGGG